rfam:Synechococcus sp. JA-2-3B'a(2-13), complete genome.
AGUAGCCGAAGAUCACAGCGGGGUUCAAGGUGGGGUUGGUAAUUACCCGCACAUCGCCACCCCCUGGAGCCCAGGUGUCAUAGACACCGCCAAACCACAUGGCCUUGGCCACCAAUAGGAAAGCCCCCAACCCCAACAGGAUCAGGUGGAUCCCCAGGAUGGUGGUCAUCUUGUUCUUGUCUUUCCA